rnacentral:lncRNA from 1 species
UAAGGAAGCCUCGGGCGACUAGCCCCAUGGUAUGGUUUGCUGCAAUUCUUUGUAUGAUAUUUAGCCUCCUCAUCAUCUUCCUCGGUAUUGCAAUUCUAGUCAUCUUUCUCGCUGUGCAACCACGAACCCCGGCAUUCGACACCCCUGCAGCAACUCUCAACGCUGUCUUCCUCAAUUUCCCCGAGUACAUCAAUGGCGACAUCACAAUUCUAGCAAACUUCUCUAAUCCGAAUAGGAAACUGGGCGUUAGGUUUGAGUACCUGAAGGUGGAGCUCCACUUCUUGGAAAUGGCGGUAGCAACUCAAGUUAUCCAACCCUUCAAUCAGAGCCCCCGGGAAGCACGGUUGAUACCGGUUCAUAUGCUGUCGGGCUUGGUCCAUCUGCCACCGAAUGUUGCUAUGGAGUUUCAGAAACAGGUGCAGAGGAACAGGGUAGUGUACAACAUCAAAGGAAGUUUCAGAGUGAGGAUCAACCUGGGAUUGAUUCAUUACUCUUACUGGCUUCAUGGAGAUUGCCAAUUGGAAAUGACUAGCCCACCAAGCAGCGUACUCAUCACCCACACCUGCAAAACCAAGAGAUGAAUGCUUUGCUUUCUCAAAUUUUACUACAUUACAUUAUUUUCCAGUCCAGCGAAUCAAGGUGUUCUACAUACUCAUAUUAAUUAAUUUGUGUAUUGUUAAACAGAUCAGAUAUAGCAUACCACAACUAUAGUAUUAGGCAUUUUCGAAGAUUACCUAUCUGCAAUUAUGUAUAGCUCUAUUUAUGCUCUAAAGCUUGAAAACAAAGAAAAAGACUUUUGUUUCAUUCAUAAGUAGAAGCUGUGAGAUUAUUGUUCUCUAUCUUGCAAAUGCGUUGUCCUAUUAUUUUAUGGCUUCAUUUGGUAGCAUCACAUGGUGGCAUUCUAGUUUGUGUGGUACAGCAAGGCAUCAAAUUUGAGAACAUUAAUUAGUGCGGAAAAGGUUGCCAAUAAUAUAUAUAGUUCAAUGAUUCAAUCGAUCUCAAGGCUGAAAAGCAAAAAAGGCUACUUCAUUUUGAGGAGUAAAAAGAAAAAAGUAUCCAUGGUGGGAUAAUCACAAUGCCUUGCAUAUGCACAAGAAGAUAAUAAAAUAACAAAAGAUAGAGAGUGUAGGAUGGGGAAGUGACCGGGAAUUAUCCACACAUCCAAUAAGAUUCUUGCAACUAGAUCUCAGAACCAGGAUUGUGAAGUAGGCACAUGCAGAAGAUUCUCCAUAGACGCAUUUACUUCUAGAAGAUCAGCAUAAUAUUUUGCCUGGACAAAUCUUCCAAGCCUGAGUACGCAUUCCUAGCUUGUGUAAAUUGAGAUAAAGGAUAAGGUCCAAAUACCUUCUUAAGGUUUACCUCAAAAAUUGGAUAUAAAUCUAAACUAUGAUUAGAUUCGACAAUCACCCUAAACUCUCGAAAAUGGUAACGGCACACUAACGCGGAAAUGUAGUUUCCGUCGGUAAACCUUAUGUUAGAUUAGAAAUGUAGUUUCCAUCGCUGGUCCGUCGGCUUUUCCGUCAGUGAUCAGAGACGGACAUUUUUCCUUCAUUAAAUAUGCCGGUGUUCGGCUUACUUUCUUGCAGUGGAAGAACUCCUAGCUGAGCUCCUCCACUUCCUCAUUCGUUGACUCCUGCAACAAGGAGAGAGUGUAGGGUUGUAACUUAUCCGAUUUUUGAGGUAUACCUUAGUGGGUAUUUGGACCUUAU